UUAGUACGGCGAGUGAGCGGUAAAAGCUCAAAUUUGAAAUCUGGUACUUUCAGUGCCCGAGUUGUAAUUUGUAGAAUUUGUCUUUGAUUAGGUCCUUGUCUAUGUUCCUUGGAACAGGACGUCAUAGAGGGUGAGAAUCCCGUUUGGCGAGGAUACCUUUUCUCUGUAAGACUUUUUCGAAGAGUCGAGUUGUUUGGGAAUGCAGCUCAAAGUGGGUGGUAAAUUCCAUCUAAAGCUAAAUAUUGGCGAGAGACCGAUAGCGAACAAGUACAGUGAUGGAAAGAUGAAAAGAACUUUGAAAAGAGAGUGAAAAAGUACGUGAAAUUGUUGAAAGGGAAGGGCAUUUGAUCAGACAUGGUGUUUUUUGCAUGCACUCGCCUCUCGUGGGCUUGGGCCUCUCAAAAAUUUCACUGGGCCAACAUCAAUUCUGGCAGCAGGAUAAAUCAUUAAGAAUGUAGCUACUUCGGUAGUGUUAUAGCUUUUUGGAAUACUGUUAGCCGGGAUUGAGGACUGCGCUUCGGCAAGGAUGUUGGCAUAAUGGUUAAAUGCCGCCCGUCUUGAACCACGGACCA
rnacentral:rRNA from 1 species